UAGGGAAUCUUCCGCAAUGGGCGAAAGCCUGACGGAGCAACGCCGCGUGAGUGAUGAAGGUCUUCGGAUCGUAAAACUCUGUUAUUAGGGAAGAACAAAUGUGUAAGUAACUAUGCACGUCUUGACGGUACCUAAUCAGAAAGCCACGGCUAACUACGUGCCAGCAGCCGCGGUAAUACGUAGGUGGCAAGCGUUAUCCGGAAUUAUUGGGCGUAAAGCGUGCGUAGGCGGUUUUUUAAGUCUGAUGUGAAAGCCCACGGCUCAACCCUGGAGGGUCAUUGGAAACUGGAAAACUUGAGUGCAGAAGAGGAAAGUGGAAUUCCAUGUGGAGCGGUGAAAUGCGCAGAGAUAUGGAGGAACACCAGUGGCGAAGGCGACUUUCUGGUCUGUAACUGACGCUGAUGUGCGAAAACGUGGGGGUCAAACAGG
rnacentral:rRNA from 1 species